rnacentral:rRNA from 1 species
GAUGAACGCUGGCGGCGUGCCUAAUACAUGCAAGUCGAACGCACAGCGAAAGGUGCUUGCACCUUUCAAGUGAGUGGCGAACGGGUGAGUAACACGUGGAUAACCUACCUCAAGGUUGGGGAUAACAUUUGGAAACAGAUGCUAAUACCGAAUAAACUUCGUAUCGCAUGAUACAAAGGUUAAAGGCGCUACGGCGUCACCUAGAGAGUGGAUCCGCGGUGCUANAGUUAGUUGGUAGGGGUAAGCCUACAAGACAAUGAUGCAUAGCCGAGUUGAGAGACUGA